UACGGAAGGUCCAGGCGUUAUCCGGAUUUAUUGGGUUUAAAGGGAGUGUAGGCGGUCUGUUAAGCGUGUUGUGAAAUUUAGGUGCUCAACAUCUACCUUGCAGCGCGAACUGGCGGACUUGAGUGCACGCAACGUAUGCGGAAUUCAUGGUGUAGCGGUGAAAUGCUUAGAUAUCAUGACGAACUCCGAUUGCGAAGGCAGCGUACGGGAGUGUUACUGACGCUUAAGCU
rnacentral:rRNA from 1 species